GUGUUGUUUGUUUUUAUGGGCGUUCGGUGGAUGCCUUGGCAUCAGGGGCCGAUGAAGGACGUGGUGGCCUGCGAUAAGCCUCGGGGAGCCGGCUAGCGGGCUGUGAUCCGAGGGUUUCCGAAUGGGGGGACCCGGCCGGGGUCAUGCCCGGUCACCUGCGCUUGAAUUUCAUAGGGCGUGGGGGGUGACGCGGGGAAGUGAAACAUCUCAGUACCCGCAGGAGAGGAUAUUCCGUGAGUAGUGGCGAGCGAAAGCGGAUGAUGGUUAAACCGUGGUCGUGUGAUUACCCGGCAGGGGUUGCGGUUGCGGGGUUGUGGGGCAUCGCCGUUCUCGUUUCUGCCGGAGCGGGGCGCAGUGAGAAAGCUUGUCUGGUAGCCGAACCUCCUGGGAAGGGGGGCCGUAGUGGGUGAUAGCCCCGUAGGCGGAACUGGUGGGCCUGUGUGUGUGGUGUUCCCGAGUAGCACGGGGCCCGUGGAAUCCUGUGUGAAUCUGCCGAGACCACUCGGUUGCCUGAAUACUUCCUGAUGACCGAUAGCGGAUGAGUACCGUGAGGGAAUGGUGAAAAGUACCCCGGGAGGGGAGUGAAAGAGUACCUGAAACCGGGCGCCUACGAGCCGUCAGGGCCCUUUUUUGGGGUGAUGGCGUGCCUAUUGAAGAAUGAGCCUGCGAGUCAGUGGCGUGUCGCGAGGCUAACCCGUGUGGGGGAGUCGUAGCGAGAGCGAGUCCGAAUUGAGGGCGUUUUAGUGGCGCGUCCUGGACCCGAAGCGGGGUGAUCUACCCAUGGCCAGGUUGAAGCACGUGUAAGAGCGUGUGGAGGACCGAACCCACCUCAGUUGAAAAUGGGGGGGAUGAGCUGUGGGUAGGGGUGAAAGGCCAAUCAAACUCCGUGAUAGCUGGUUCUCCCCGAAAUGCAUUUAGGUGCAGCGUCUCGUGUUGCCCGGCGGAGGUAGAGCUACUGGGUGGCUGAUGGGCCCCACAGGGUUACUGACGUCAGCCAAACUCCGAAUGCCGUUCGGGUGUGAGCGGGGCAGUGAGACGGCGGGGGAUAAGCUCCGUCGUCGAGAGGGAAACAGCCCAGAUCGCCGGCUAAGGCCCCUAAGCGCGUGCUAAGUGGGAAAGGAUGUGCGGUCGCGCAGACAACCAGGAGGUUGGCUUAGAAGCAGCCAUCCUUGAAAGAGUGCGUAAUAGCUCACUGGUCAAGUGAUCGUGCGCCGACAAUGUAGCGGGGCUCAAGCACGCCGCCGAAGCCGCGGACCCGUCGCGUUUGUUCCUUUCCUUCCUUGUCCCUUUUUGGGCGGGUUGGGCAGGGGUGGCGGGUGGUAGGGGAGCGUCCUGCGCCGGGUGAAGCCUCGGGGUGACCCAGGGGUGGAUGGCGUGGGAGUGAGAAUGCAGGCAUGAGUAGCGAUACUAGGGUGAGAAGCCCUAGCGCCGAAUGACCAAGGGUUCCAGGGCCAGGCUAGUCCGCCCUGGGUGAGUCGGGACCUAAGGCGAGGCCGACAGGCGUAGUCGAUGGAUGACGGGUUGAUAUUCCCGUACCGGUGUAGCACCGUCCAUGCUGACGUGCGGGUGCUGACCCACGCCGCUGCUCACGUUGACUUGUGCUGGGGGCUUUCGGGUUCCUGGUGUGGGUUGUGGGUGGUGGUCUGGGGACCCUCCGUGCUGGUAGGCAAGCGCAUUAACAGGGGUGACGCGCAGUGGUAGCCUCGCGGGCCUGAUGGCUUGGCCCGUUCAAGCGUGCGGCCCGGUCCCUAGGUAAAUCCGGGGGCUGCCUGCCCUGUGGGGUGGGAGGGUGAGGCGUGAUGGUGACCCCGCUUUUUGGUGGGGGAUAGUAGGGUGAUCCUGUGGCGCCGAGAAAAGCCCCGGCGCGAGGUGCGAGCCGCCCGUACCCUAAACCGACACAGGUGGUCGGGCAGAGUAUGCCUAGGCGCACGAGUGAAUCAUGGUGAAGGAACUCGGCAAAAUGCCCCCGUAACUUCGGGAGAAGGGGGGCCUGAACCCUGAGACGGCUUGCCCGUUGGGGGGGAGGGUCGCAGAGACCAGGGGGGAGCGACUGUUUACUAAAAACACAGGUCCGUGCGAAGCCGCAAGGCGAUGUAUACGGACUGACGCCUGCCCGGUGCUGGAAGGUUAAGAGGAUCUGUCAGCCCCUUUUUUUGGGGUGAAGCGGUGAAUUCAAGCCCCAGUAAACGGCGGUGGUAACUAUAACCAUCCUAAGGUAGCGAAAUUCCUUGUCGGGUAAGUUCCGACCUGCACGAAUGGCGUAACGACUUCCCCGCUGUCUCCACCAUGAGCUCGGCGAAAUUGCAGUACGAGUAAAGAUGCUCGUUUCGCGCAGAAGGACGGAAAGACCCCGGGACCUUUACUAUAGCUUGGUAUUGGCGUCCGCUAUGGCUUGUGCAGGAUAGGUGGGAGACUGUGAGGCCGUCACGCUAGUGGUGGUGGAGUCGUUGUUGAAAUACCACUCUGGCCAUGGCGUGCGCCUGAACCUGGGCCCGUGAUCCGGGUCAGGGACAGUGCCUGGUGGGUAGUUUAACUGGGGCGGUUGCCUCCUAAAGUGUAACGGAGGCGCUCAAAGGUUCCCUCAGCCUGGUCGGCAACCAGGUGUUGAGUGCAAGUGCACAAGGGAGCUUGACUGUGAGACCGACGGGUCGAGCAGGUGCGAAAGCAGGAACUAGUGAUCCGGCGAUCCCGUGUGGGUGGGUCGUCGCUCAACGGAUAAAAGGUACCCCGGGGAUAACAGGCUGAUCCUGCCCAAGAGUCCAUAUCGACGGCAUGGUUUGGCACCUCGAUGUCGGCUCGUCGCAUCCUGGGGCUGGAGCAGGUCCCAAGGGUUGGGCUGUUCGCCCAUUAAAGCGGUACGCGAGCUGGGUUUAGAACGUCGUGAGACAGUUCGGUCCCUAUCCUCUGCGCGCGCAGGAUACUUGAGAAGGCCUGUCCCUAGUACGAGAGGACCGGGACGGACGAACCUCUGGUGUGCCAGUUGUCCCGCCAGGGGCACGGCUGGUUGGCUACGUUCGGGACGGGUAACCGCUGAAAGCAUCUAAGCGGGAAACCAUCUUCAAGAUGAGGUAUCCAUGCCCCUUUUUUUGGGGGGUGGGAGGUCCCCAGUGGAUUACUGGGUUGAUAGGCCAGGGGUGGAAAGCCUGUAAGGGCUAUUGAGCUGACUGGUACUAAUCGGCCGAUACAAUCAACAU
rnacentral:rRNA from 1 species